rnacentral:sRNA from 1 species
GAUGAACCUUCAAUCGAAUUAGUUACAUAAGACGUGAAUCCUUUAAAUAUCGAAGCCUUGACUGGAGGAACAAUGAUGCCUGCGGACAUCGCUUGAAAUUAACCCAUUAAGGGUUGAGUUAUGGAGCUAGGGGCAUAGGAGCAUAGUGCCCUCCUCUUCCGUCCUGCGCGACGCUUUACCUAAUCGGCUUGGACCGGCUCUAUUUGGCGACACGCUUUCUGGACACAAACUGAUAUUCCGCGAUCCCUCCUCUAGCCCCACCCGCAGGUCGCACCCUCUGGUGGCUAGGAAUUCCUCUUGCGUGCCCGCGGUCAGCGAUAUGUAUACCAUCGUUUACCAGGGGCUUCACGCUUCUGGUCUUCCGGUUCAUAUGAUCGAGUGCAAUUUGACUGCAGAAAAUAUUCUUGAUUGGCCCAUGAUAAGGACCAAAUCAAGUAUUUUUGUCUUACGGUCACAGGAAGCUGUCGCACACCAAGGUCGGACCACAAAUAACAAAGAAAUAAAAAUAUGCAUGCAUUAUGAAAUUUGCCAAAAA